UUGGGAAUAGUGUGUAAAGUUUAAUGUAUAAACAAUUUAUGUUUAUAUCUUCCGCAAUAGUGAUAGAAUUAGUAUACCGGAUCCGCGGCGAUUUGGGACCCGGAUUCGGGGAUGCUACAGUCCUCAAUAGGGAAAAAUCUAAAAGAAUAUAAUAGGAAACAAGUUUUAAAUCAAUAUUCGCAGCGGAAAUAAUAAUUCAUUAGAAGAGUUAAGUAGAGAAUGAAAACUACUAUCUUUUAUGAUUUAAAAAUCCAUCAUCAAUAUUUUAUCCCUGUAACAUCAAUCAAUAUACAUCUUGAAUCAAAUAUUCAUCUUUGCACUACAGGCCAAAGAUAUUCAUCAGUUGAUCAUGUUCAUCUCAACACCUGUUCAUCUUUGCACUACGGGCCAAAGAUAUUCAUCAGAAAAUCAUUCAUCUUUGCACUACAGACCAAAGAUAUUCAGUUAUAUCAUCAUUUAGGACUGAGGAUGAUGAAAAAUAUUUUAAAAAAAAUGAAUCCAGUGAGACAAAAGAACAAAUAUUAGGGAUUCGUACUUCGGUUUAUCCAUGUUCAAAAACACCCCAUAAUAUACUAUGGUGGAGUAAAAUUCAAGAAUAAUAAUCAAAACAUGGAUACGAUCAAAGAUAGUAACAAAAAUAGACAUCUGGGACAAAGAACGAAAAUUUAAUUUUUUCUGUGAAUAGUGUCGUAUUCGUGAAUAGUGACGUAUACGUGAAUAGUUCCGUAUACGUGAAUAGUAACCCCGACACAAAAAAAUAGAAAUUUAACAAGAAAAAUUAUACUAAUAUUUCGACAUAACGAUAUUGAAAGAAAUAAUAUCAUUUAUAUAAAAAAAAUAACAUCCCUUACCUUAAAAAGACAGUACUUCUAACUGGAAUAUCGGAUAUAGUGUUGAAGGGAACUUGUAUAGCAACACUCAAAAUAUCAAAAUACUCACAAGAAUACGCUCGAUAAUAUAUAGAGAGAAAAUUUCAGUUUCUGGUGUGAUUUUCAAUUCUAACCUAAGCACCCUAUUUAUAGAAAAAUGGUUAGAAUACCAAAGCAGAAAAUUUAAUAAAAUAUUAAUAUAUUAAAAAAAAUUUCACGCCCAUCUUAGAAAAUCUGAACUCAGCUCAUUUCCAAUACUAGUGGGGCCCACCAACAUAAUAAAAACGUUUUUCUUAAAAAAAAUAUUUAAAACUUUAAAAAUCAAUUAUUCCGGAACUUCAAUAAUUCAUAAUAAAUAGCCAUUUUAUCAGAAAAAUUCGAAUCUUAUGUCCAUUCCAUAAAAAAUUCAAUUCUCUACAACUUUGUAAGUUUAAGUUUUUCCAAAUUUCAAGCAGAAAUUGACCGAAAUUCACAUACGGACGAUUUUACAGGCUAUAAUCAAAUUUCAGUAAAAAAAUGGGGCCCAC
rnacentral:lncRNA from 1 species